rnacentral:pre_miRNA from 13 species
UCGUAACUUGUGUGGCUUCGAAUGUACCUGGCUAAGGAAAGUUGGAUUUCCUAGGUAUUCGAGCCAAUAAGUUCGG